UCGGCGAGUCGGGUUGUUUGGGAAUGCAGCCCUAAUUGGGUGGUAAAUUCCGUCCAAGGCUAAAUACGGGCGAGAGACCGAUAGCGAACAAGUACCGUGAGGGAAAGAUGAAAAGCACUUUGGAAAGAGAGUUAAACAGCACGUGAAAUUGUUAAAAGGGAAACGAUUGAAGUCAGUCAUGCUCUUGGGACUU
rnacentral:rRNA from 14 species